CAGCAACCCCAGCAGACCCUUUUAACACAGGUUAGUUUGGCAUUACUUUAUUUCUUUUGAUUAUCUGAAUAAAGAGUAGACUAAUGUUUUAUUUCUAUUCUAGUUUUUAUUUCAGAGUUUAAAGGUAUUUGUUGUAUUCACAUAAUAAUUUAGCAGUAUAUUGCUAAAUAAAGGUGAAAAUUUGUUAUUGUGUUUUGAUUGCAAGCCCAGCUAUUGUAUAGCUUGAAUAAAUAAGAAUUUUUAUUUUAAGUUUAAUACUGAUUUUUUGCUUUUAUAUUUUCUUUAUAGCUAAAGUUUUGGAAAUUUUUGGAUGUUUCAUUUUUAACUUGACCUUAGUAGGUAAAGUCAUCAUGUUAUCAGUUUGAUUUUUGAGCAACAUUAAAAUGUUUUGGAACUUUUGGGCCUGAUGGUAUAGUUCUGGUAGAGUGCAUGUUUUAGCAUGUGUGAGGCCCUGGAUUUAAUUCAUACCUAGCUCAAAAAAUAAAAAUAAAGUUUUGAAUUUUUAAUAUGUACUGCUACCUUAGGGCUUGUUACAAACCACUUAGUUUCUGUCAUAAUUUUUUUUUCUUACAACCCUUUAAAAGGUGUUAAAAACAUUCCUUGCUUAUUAACUAAGGCAUUGGGCUUUAUUUGGCCAAUGGACCAUGGUUCACUGGUAUUUUUGUACAGUAAAUAUUAAGCAGUUGUUAAAAAUGAAACAGAAUCCCCAUGUUGGGGAUUGAACCCAGGGCCUUGUACAUGCUGUGUAUCCCCUCUUACCACUGAGUUCCACACUCAUCCCUAGAACUUAAUGUAAAAUUAUAUCUCAGAUAUGGGAGGUAGAGGAAAAAGUAUGGUGCAAUAUGCAUUGUAUGUUUCCAUUUACUUAGGAGGGAAGUGGAGGAUAUCAUUUAUCAGUGUGUGCAUUAUCUCCAAAAGGCCCUUGAUAGUAAAAGGUGAUGUGAUUGCUUUAUGCAUAAGAAACUGGGUGGCUGAGGAACAAGGAUAGGAGAGAAGCUUUUCACUGUGUAACUUCUUGUAUCUUUUUAGUCUUUUUUAAAAGUAAAGGAUUAAAAGUAUUUUUUAAAAGAAAAAUGCACUACAUUUAAGAAAUCAAUUAUACUGUUCUUAUUAAAGAACUAAAAUCCAGUAAUACCGAUCUUACUUUCAAUUCCCAACAUGAGAAUUUCAAAAUUAAAUAGAAUAGCUGUAGAAGUUUCUUUCCUUACCAUAACAUCUCCCAGUGUGUGCCCAUAAAGUAUAACUAUCUUAAGAUGUUAAAGAAAUUUUUUGAAGGUUUUUUCCCCCCCACUAUUGGGGAUUGAACCUGGGGGUACUCUGCUAGUGAGCUAUUUUUAUUUCUGAGGAUUGAGCGCCUGAGUGCUUUACCCCUGACUUAAAUUCCCCAGACCUUUUGUUAUUUAUUUAUUUAUUUUUAAACAUCAAAUUGUAUACUUUAUUUUUAUGUGGUGCAGAGGAUCAAACCCAGUGCCUCACACAUGCCAGGCUAGUGCUCUGCUACUGAGCUAUAAUACCAGUCCCUUUUAUUUUUAUUUUGAGACAGGGUCUCACUAAGUUGCUUUUGGCUUCCCUGGGUUGCUGAGGUUGGCUUGAACUUGUGAUCUUCCUGCCUUAAGCUCUCAAAUUGCUGGGAUUAUAGGCAUGCACCACCAUACCUUCCUUUUUAUUUUGAAACAGGGAUUUGAUAGACUGUCCACAAUAGUUGUGAACUUGUGAUCUUCCUGCCUCAACUUCCCGAAUACUGGUGCACCACCAGACAUAGUGUUUUUUUGUUGUUGUUGUUGUUUUUUGAAGUGGUGUCUUUGCCAUGUUGCCCAGUUUCAUAUAAAACUUAUGGAUACAAGUAUUCCUCCUGCCUCAGUCUCCAAGUAGCUUGGACUACAGGAAGAAAUUUAUUUAUUUUUGGUACUGGUGAUUAAACCCAGGCACAUAACCAUUGAGCCACAUUCCAAGCCCUUUUUGUUUUUUAUUUUGAGACAGGGUCUCACUAAGUUGCUGAGGCUGGGCUCAAACUUGCCUAAGUUGAUGAAAUACUGAGUUCUUUGACUAUAUUUUGGAGUUUCCUAAACCUUUAGUGUGCUGAUAAGGAUUUUGAUUUUUUUGUUUGUUUUUUGGAGGCGGGGUGCUGGAAUUGAAUCCAGGGGUACUUCACUACUAAGCUACAUUUUCAGUUUUUUUAUUUUGAAAAAUGCUCUAAGUUGCUGAGGCUGGCUUCUUAACUUGUGAUCCUCCUGCCUCAGCAUCCCAAAUAGUAAGGAUUAUACAGGCAUCUGACAUUACACCCAGCUUUUUUGUUUGUUUUUUUGGUGGUGGUACUGGUGCUUGAACUCAGGUUCUUGCAUAGACUAGGCAAGUUCUCUUGCACUGAGCUACAUCCCCAGUCUUUUCUGGACUUUGAAUUUCUAAGAGGGAGUUAAAAUAGUAUUUUUACAACUCAUUGAACGAUGAUUCUUUUGCCUUGGAGCAACCCUGAAAAUACUCAUUUGAGGAAAGUUAUGGAUGAAAUAAGUUAAAUAAUUUUAUAGAUUUUCAGACUUAGUUCUCUCAAGGUGUACAUACAUAUAUUUUAUAACUUCAUAUAAUUUUUAACAUUUUGGGCUAAAAUUGUCAUUUUUAAUUUCCAGGUAAUUUCAAGUCAUUAUCUUAAUAUGAUGUUGAUUUUCUUCAAUAGCCGGCUGUUGCGCUGCCUACAAGCCUUAGCCUGUCUACUCCUCAGCCUGCAGCACAGAUAACUGUAUCUUAUCCAACACCACGGUCCAGUCAGCAACAAACCCAACCUCAGAAACAACGUGUUUUCACAGGAGUGGUUACAAAGCUACACGAUACAUUUGGAUUUGUGGAUGAAGAUGUAUUCUUUCAGCUUAGGUAAACUUCAUUAGGUGUUGAGAUGACUUAUUGAAUUCUGUAUAAAGUACUUGUGAUAAAGAUAAGCUAAAAUUUUCUGUUUUAAUCAUUCAGUUUGUAUUAUGGUCCUAUCUGUGAUGUGUUUGGGUGGAAAAAUGUGGUUAAGUAUAUGUUUUGAUUAUUGAACAUCAACUAAUUGUGAAUUCUUUUUUUUUUUUUUAGUUGUAGAUGGACACAAUACCUCUAUUUAUUUAUUUAUUUUUUAAUGUGGUACUGGGGAUCAAACCCAGUGCCUCACACAUGCUAGGCAUGCUCUGUACCACUGAGCCACAACCCCGGCUCUAAUUGUGAAUUCUUUAUAAAUAUUUUCUUAGAACUAGGUGGCAUUUCUAACUCUUCAUGGGCAGACUUUGAGAUUGGGGGUUGAUUAAUUAUGACUUUUAAAUCCUAAUAUUCUGGUUUGACAUAUCUGAUGAUAUAGACUAAGAAUUUUUUUUUUUAAUUGAAAAGUUAGUGAACAGGAUCAAAUGGUUGAUGGACAAACAUUCACAAUAGUACUUUGGUUCCUUUAUGGUAGUUGUAGGCAAUAUGAAUUUUCUUAGAUAUAUCAAGAAUAUUUCUAAUGAACUUCCUUAGAAUGGUCACAUUUGGGACUCAGUUGCUGUAGAAGAUUUUUGUAUAAAAGGGAUUCCCAUUUUUUUGUCGUCUUUCCAAAACCUGAAGCAAAUUUUACCUUUGGGCUCUAAAAGUUAGUGCCAUAAGCAGAAGGACAUAACUUAGGAGAUUAUGAGGUGGUAAAUUAUUUCUUGCACUUCAAAACUUCUGUUUAUAUAUAGAGGGUGAAACGUUCAGUUCUGAAAUGAGUCUACAGAUAUAUCUACUUUUGUAAGAGCUCUCCAGUCUUCCAUUUCUGGUAUAGUGUGUUUAUUUAUUUAUUUAUUUAUUUAUUUUUAGUUAUAGAUGGACAAAAUACCUUCUUUUAUAUUUAUGUGGUGCUGAGGAUCAAACCUGGUGCCUCAAUUGUGCUAGGCAAAUGCUCUACCACUGAGCUACAACCCAGCCAUAUAGUGUAUUUUGUGUGUGUGAGAGAGUGUGUGUGUGUGUGUUUGUCUGUGUGUGGCUGGGGAUUGAACCCAGGGCCUUUUGCAUGUGAGGCAAGCACUCUACCAACUGAGCUAUAUCCCCAGCCCCUUAAAGUGUAGUUUUAAAUGCUAAGUGUGUAAAUUUGAGGGUGGGGCGAUGUCUUUUUUUUUCCCCCCAAAUAUUUUUUAGCUGUUGAUGUACCUUUAUAUUAUUUAUUUGUAUGUGGUGUUGAGAAUCUAACCCAGCGCCUCACACAUAUAAGGCAAGCACACUGCCACUGAGCCACGACCCCAGCCCCUUGGGGGGCGAUCUCUUAAUUGUGUUUAUUUUUUUUCCCCCAGUGCCGUCAAAGGGAAAACUCCACAAGUGGGUGAUAGAGUAUUGGUUGAAGCUACUUAUAAUCCUAAUAUGCCUUUUAAAUGGAAUGCACAAAGAAUUCAAACACUACCAAAUCAGGUACAUAAAAUAUUGAACUAAUUAUCAUGGAAAUUUGGUAAUUGAGUCUUCCAUUUGACAAAAAACAUUUUAUCUCUUUUGUUUUUAUUAAGAAUCAGUCCCAAACCCAACCUUUACUGAAGACUCCUCCUGCUGUACUUCAGCCAAUUGCACCACAGACGGCAUUUGGUGUUCAGGCUCAGCCCCAGCCUCAGUCACUACUGCAGGCACAGAUUUCUGCCGCUUCUAUUACACCACUACUGCAGACUCAGCCACAGCCUUUAUUACAGCAGCCACAGCAAAAAGGUAUUGCGUGCAUGUAUUCUUGUUUUUAAUUUCAGACUAAUGUGUGUUAUGAUUUAUUUGUUCAAAUAUAAAGAACAUGCUUUUAAUUAUAAAAUAGGCAGGGACAUCCAGGAGGUUGAAAAAGAAGGAUCUUUUGAGCAAGUGAGUAUAUGACCAGACUGAGCAAUAUAGUGAGACCCUAUCUCAAAAUGUCUGACAGGGACUUUGAGGAAACUUGAAAGGAAGCAUAAAUAUCCUGAACAAAACAUCCUGUAAUUCUCUACUUAUAUGGAAGUAGUUUUGUUUUAUUUCUUGUAGUGAUAACAAAUUCAGUGAAUAGGAAAUUCAAAGAUAUGUUUCUUGUGUACUUAAAUAUCAGAACUGUUAUCCCUUGUGCCCCCUUUUGGUAUCACAUACCAACAAUAUUUUAUUUAUACAUGUGAAUCUUUUCUUUUUAAUUAAUUAAUUUUUAUUCAUUUUAUUGAUUUAUUUUGGUACCAGGUAUCGAACCCAGGGGUGCUUAACAACUGAGACACAUUAUCAGCUCUCCCCCCCAAUACAUGGAGUAUAACUUAUUCUAAUUAGGAUUUUAUUCUUGUGGUUGUACAUGAUGUGGAGUUACCCUUGUCUGGUAGGAAAGGAAAGUUAUGUCUGAAUAAUUCUAUUGUUUUUUUCUUUUCCCUCUCCCCUCCCUUCCCUUCAUUCCCCUUUGUUUAAUCCAAUGAACGUCUAUUCUUCCCCUCCUAUCCUUGCUUGUGGAUUAACAUACACAUAUCAGAAAAUUUAGCCUUUGGUUUUUUGGGACUGGCUUAUUUCACUUAGCACUGAUAUUUUCCAGUUCCAUUCAUUUACUAGCAAAUGCCAUGAUUUCAUUCUUUAUGUCUGAAUAAUAUUUCAUUGUGUAUAUAUACCACAUUUUCUUUAUUCAUUCAUCUGUUAAAGGACACUUAGGUUAGUUCCAUGGUUUAGUUAUUGUGAGUUGAGCUGCUAUAAAACAUUGAUGUGGCUGCAUCAUCUAGUAUGCUGAUUUUUACGUUCUUUGGGUAUAAAUCAGGGAGUGGGAUAACUGGAUUAAAUGGUGGUUCCAUUUCAUGUUUUCUGAGGAAUCUCCAUACUGCUUUCCAUAAUGGUUGCACCAAUUUGAAAUCCUCCUGUACAUGUGAACUGGUGUUAGUAAUUCUGUUAUGUUAUUGGGGAUCAAACCCAGGGGUGCUCUACAACUGAGCUACAUGCCCCAGCCCUUUUUAUUUUAUUUUUGGUAGUGGGGAUUGAACCUAGGAACACUCUUCCACUGAGCUACAUUCCUAGCACCCCUCUUUUUUUAAUAUUUUUUUAAAAUAAGGGAAUGUUUUUAUACCUUGUUUUUAUUUAUUUGUUUUUAUGUGGUGCUAAGAAUUGAACCCAGUGCUUCACACAUUCUAGGCAAGCACUCUACCACUGAGCUACAACCUCAGCCCCUUUCCAGCCCUUUUUAUUUUUUGAGACAGUGUCUCACUAAGUUGCUUAGUGCCCUCACUAAAUUGCUGAGGCUAAAAGCCUUGAACUUAACUAUUCUGCCUCAGCCUUCCAAGUUUCUGGGAUAGUAGGUGUAAUGGUGGCUACAUCCAACCCUUGUUUAUUUUUUGAGACAGAGUCUUGCUAAGUUGUUCAGGUAAGUUGUUUGGGUUUGCCUCUAACUGUUUCAGCUUCACGACUUGCUGUAUAUACAAUUGUGUGCCACUGUGCCUGGGAUUAUACAGUGUUUAAAAUGGCAGUUAGCCUGCUGCAUGCCGUGAUACAUACGUGGAACCCCAGCAAUUUGGGAUGCUGAGGCAGUAGGAUAAAGGUUGGAGGCCAGGGGCUGGGGUUUUGGCUUAGUGGUGGAGUGCUCGCCUAGCAUGUGCAGGGUCUUGGGUUCGAUCCUCCGUACCACAUUAAGAUAGAGGUAUUGUGUCCAACUACAACUAAAAAAUAAAUAUUAAAAAAAAAAAAAAAAGUUGGAAGCCAACCUGGACCUGUUUCAAAACAAAAAAUAGAAAAGAUCUGGUUAUGUAACUCAGUGGUAGAGUAUCCCUAGGUUCAAUCAUUUUUAUUUAUUCAUUUUUUAAUAAUUUUAGUUGUAAAUGGACAUAAUAACUUUAUUUUUUUAUUUUUAUAGAUAUAAUUUGGCAUUUUCUCUUUCAUUGUAUGUUAUUAUACUAGAGCAAAGUGAUAAAACGUAUAACUCCAUGGUAUAGCUAUAGCAAAAUGAUAAAACCAGGUUACAGCAUAAUGGAUUAUUAAUUUUAAAUGAACACCUGAUUGUUCACUACUCAGGUCAAAAAAUACACAUUGCAUGCUGGGGAUAUAGCUCAAUUGGUAGAGUGCUUGCCUAACAGGCGUGAGGCCUUGGGUUCAAUCCCCAGCACUACCACCACCAACAACAAAAAACACAUUGCUAAUACUUGUGUAUAGUGCUAGGGAUCAAACCCAGUGCUGUGUUUCAUAACUGGCAAGCACUCUACCAGUGAACUACAUCCCUCAACACCCAUCUGCCUCCUUUUUUCUCAAAAUAUAUAUCCUGAAUACAAUUUACUUUGUCUGCUUUUGAACUUAAUAUGAGAUUCCACUUAUAUUCUAGCUUGUGUAAGGUUUUUUACACCAUUAUGUUAAAGUUUUUCCUUCUAUUUAUUUCAUGUGGGUAUAGUUUGUUCAUUUUCAUUGUGCAUUUCCAUUGUAUGAAUAUUGUACAAUUAUCUGUUCUCCUUUAGUAAUCAUUUGGUUAUUUCUUGUUUUGGUUUCUGUAAACAUUCUCGUGUGUUCACAGACAAUGUGUGUGACUUUUUCUAGGGUAUGUAUCUUUGAAUGGAAUUGUUGGGUGUGAGGAGUACAUAUAUCUUCUUAGAUAAUACCAAACUCUGUCCAAACUACUUGUUUCCUCCAAGUAUCUGACAGUUCUCUGAUCUCUGAUUUUUUUUCCUCAUAGUUUUCUUAAAAUAUCUUAUUUUACAAUUGUGAAUUGGGAUUUGAGUACCUAUUUGUUUGUUUUGAUACUAGGUUUUCAAACCUGGAUCUCACAUACUUAGCACUCUACCGCUGAGCUACAGUCCUUGCCCUAAGACAGGACCAGUUCUACAACAAAAUGUAUAAAUUAUGAUAACUGUGAAUGAACAAUUUUAUUCCCAAUUGUUAGACUAAUUUCAUCUAAUCUCAUAAUACUUUUGUACUUUCUUUAAAUGUGUUAGUUUAAUUUUAUUUUUUUCUGUAUUUUUUUUUUGAAGCUGGCUUAUUGCAGCCCCCUGUUCGUAUAGUUUCACAACCACAACCAGCACGAAGAUUAGAUCCACCAUCUAGAUUUUCAGGAAGGAAUGACAGAGGAGAUCAAGUGCCUAAUAGGAAAGAAGACCGAAGGUAUGUUUUAAGAAUAUAAUAUAGAUGGUGGUGGUGAUUAUUCAAAAUGUGAAUGCAUUUAAUGCCACUGAACUGUGCAGAUAAAACUGGUUAAUGUGAUAAACUUCGUGUCACAUACAUAUAACAUUUUUGGGGGGGUGGGUACCGGGGAUUGAACCCAGGGGUGCUUAAUCACUGAACCACAUCCAAAGCCCUUUUAUUUUUUGCUUUGAGACAGGGUCUUAAGGCCUUGAUAAAUUGCCCAGCAACAUAACAUUUAAAAAAUACAUUUUUGAAGAGUUAAAAAUGUGUUGUUUUUAUAACCUAUUACAUUAUUUCUUUAAAAAACUGCCAUUAUGCCAAAAAUAUUAGUAAUAAUUUUAUAUAAAUUUACUUUAAGUCGUGAAAGGGAAAGAGAAAGACGUAGAUCCAGAGAAAGAUCACCUCAAAGGAAACGUUCCAGGGAGAGGUCUCCCAGAAGAGAGAGAGAAAGAUCGCCUCGGAGAGUUCGGCGUGUUGUUCCACGUUACACAGUGCAGUUUUCAAAGUUUUCUUUAGAUUGGUAAGUUCUUUUUUUCUCUUUCAGUUAUUAACUUUGUAAUUUUGUAUAGAUUAGUGUGGAAUGUGUUAUAAUCAGGAUAUUUUACCUGAGAAAAUCAUGUGCUGACAUUUAGUGCUCUUAUAAGGAUAGAAAUGCAAUUUGAAGUAGUCAUUUAUUUCUCUGCUAAAGUGUAUUAUUUAUAGUACUCAUAACUUUAAAGUUAUCAACUAUUCAAAAAGAAAACCUCUAAAGGAAAUUCUGUUGUGAUGAAAUCAUUGCUUAACAUUAGAGUUAUUUAAGAUCCACAUUUAUUGAUGAAGAUCCACAUUAUAUGUGAUGAAGCAAUAACAAGUAAACCAAUUGUUUCAAGCUUACUUGUGAUAAUAUAGUAUAAAGUAUGAAUUGGAUCUGCGUAUGUUCUGAGACCUAUAUAAUAUACAUGUGUUUGUGUCCAUAAAUAAAUUAUUGAGCUUUUGGAAUCAGAGGUUGAGGCAAGUUACCAAGAAUUUCUCAGUUUUAGCUAUAAAAUCCAUUAGCUUGCAGAAUUAUUGUUUGGUUCAGUAUCUAGAGCACCCAGAGUGUGGCAAUUUUAGAUUUUCCUUAAUUGAUAAUAGUAGUGAGUUAUGAUGGCAACUAGGGUUACUAGAUUUAACAGAUGGAAAAAGCAAAUGGACAGUAAAAUAAGAAAAUCUUUAAAAGCAGUGUCAGAACUGUUUGGCAUAGGUGCAAAUAAUGUGUGUACUUGAAUGACCUGAGAAGAUAUAAUUUUUAAUAUUUAUUAUGUUGGCCUGUCAAAAGUUGAAAUUUCUGCAUAUUCAAUUCUAGAUCUGAUAAACAGUGUGAUUUAGUGUACUGAAUACCAAGAAAUUCUUAACUGGUGACUUUGCUUGUUUAUAUUACUUCAUUGUUUAUUUACUCUUAACUUUGGCCAGAUUAGCAAGUACUCUUAAUUUAUACUAGUUUUGUUAUUAUCCUUUUUUACUAUUAGGCUUAAAAAAAUCUGUUGGUACCAAAACUACUUCAUUCCCCAAGGUACUAAAUAGAGGAGCUCUAAUUUUUAUGCAUCUUUCCCAGUAUUAAACACUAUAUAGGAAGAGUUGGUCAGAUACAUAAUUGAGGCGGGCGCCAUGGCUCACACCCAUAAAUCCUAGCAGGUUGGGAGGCUGAGGCAGGAGAAUUGUGAGUUCAAAGCCAGCCUCAGCAACUUAGUGAGGCCCUGUCUAUAAAUAAAAUAUAAAAAAGGGCUGGGGAUGCGCCCUGCUAUCAAAAUAAAUAAGGAUAUGAAAUAGAACAGCUCCUACUAAGAUCACUUUCACAGUUUCACUUUUACUGCUAACAAUAUCAAUCAAACCCAUUACAAAUAAACAUCAUUUUAAAGUUUCCAUGUCUCCUUAAUCUGUAGUUCUGGAAAUCAAAUUUUUUAUACUAAUAUAAUUAUGAGCACUUAUUUGCAAUUAAUGCUUUAUGUGGACUUAUGUCUGUUUUAUCAUAGAUUUUAUUCCUAUGGGGUAAAACUUCUAAAAUUCUGGUACUGAGAAACUAUUACAUAUACUUUGUUCCUUAAAAAUAAAACUCAAAUAUAUUUUGCACACUUUUGAUACAAUCUUUAUUUAUUUUUUAGUUUUAGGUCGAUACAAUAUCUUUAUUUUAUUUUUAUGUGGUACUGAGGAUCGAACCCAGUUCUUCAUGCAUGCUAGGCAAAGUACUCUACCUCUGAGCCACAACCCCAACCCCUUGACAGAAGCUUAACCAGAUAAAGUAUAAUUAUAUCAGCAGCCACAAUAGAAAAUUAUCACAAAGUAAAAUAAAAAUAAAAUAAAAUAUUAUUUUAUUUUGUGAUGCUGGGAUUAAACCAGGGCUUUGUAUAUGCUAGGCAAUUAGUCUGUUUCUAAGCUAUAUACCCAAUGUAUCUCUAUUUUUUGUUUUUAGGUGUCUGAUAAAGACAUCUCUACAUAGAGAUUAGUUGUUUUUUUUUUUUUUCUCCUUCCUUUCUUCCUGUACUAGGGAUUGAACCCAGGGGCACUUUACCUGUGAAGUAUAUCCCCUGACCUUUUUAUUUUUAUUUUGAGAUGGGGGUCUCGUUAAGUUGCAGAAUCUGUCCUUGAACUGCCCAUCUUCCUGUCGCAGUCUCUUAAGUUGCUGGCUUACAUAUGUGCUCCAACAUGUCCAGCAGAAUUCAUGUAUGUGUUUCAUUUUUUGUGUGUCUGUGUGUGUGGUAAUGGGGGUUGAACCCAAUGGUACUCUAGUGAGCUACAUCUCCAAAUCACCAGCCAUUUUUUUUGUUUUGUUUUGAGACGGUCUCACAAAAGUGCACUCUUUCUGUCAUAGCCUGGUGAGUUUCUAGAAUUGGACCACCUCACCUGCUCAUUAUGCUUUUUUUUGUUUUUGUUUUUUUUUAGUUGGGCACAAUACCUUUAUUUUAUUUAUUUUUAUGUGCUGCUAAACCUAGUACCUCACAUAUUCUUGGCAAGUGCUGUACCCCUGAGAUAUAACUCUGACCCUCAAUUAUGCUUUUUAAAAAUUUUUUUUUAUAGUUGUAGAUGAAUACAACAUCUUUAUUUACCUUUAUGUGGUGCUGAGGAUAGAACCCAGGGUCUCACACAUGCUAAGCAAGUACUCUACCACUGAGCUACAAUCCCAGCCCAUCAGUUAUGCCCUUUUGUUCAAUUGUUUAUCUUUGAGUUUCUCGCCUUUAAAAUCUGGUUUUUAGGGGCUGGGGAUGUGGCUCAAGCGGUAGCGCACUCACCUGGUAUGUAUGCGGCCCGGGUUCGAUCCUCAGCACCACAUGCACCGCCAAAAACUUAAAAAAAAAAAAAUUGCUUUUUGGGGAAAAGGAAACUAAUUUUUUAAAAAAUUUUUAUUAGUUAUUGAUGGACCUUUAUUUAUUUUUUGUUUAUAUGUGGUGCUGAUAAUCGAACCCAGUGCCUCACACAUGCUAGGCAAGCACUCUACCACUGAGCCACAACCCCAGCCUCAGGAAACUAAUCUUUAAAAUAUCAGUGCCAGAUUUAAAAGGCAAGAGUUCUAUUUCCGUUUUACAUAAUAAUAAUAAUUAGGUAUUGAUUUACUUAAAUUCUUAUAGAGAAGUAUAGAGGUGUAGAUAAUAUAAAGAACACUUUAUAUAUAUUUUUUUCAUUUAUAUAUUUUUUUUCAUUUGUAUUUUAGUAUUUGAUUUUUAAUUUAAGUGUAAUGAUCUACAAGCUUAAUCUAGAAUAGAACUUGAAUUUUUUCUUUGCUGAAUAAGUCUGAUUAAGGGGUAUUUGAGUACUAAUUUGGUAUUACUCUUGUCCCUUCUUUGUAUGUAUUUUGUGGGAAUUAUGAUUUUUCUCAAGUAAUAUACAUUUUAAACUAAGUCAAAACUACUUUUGUUUCAGUCUUCUCUAGAGCUGUGGGUUUUCUUUAUUUCAAAGUGUCUUCUCUAAUGAAUUAUAAGCUACAUACAAAAAGUAGAGAAAUAAAGGUAACACUUAGAUACUGAUAAUUCAAAACUGCAACUAUAUACAAAUUUGUAAAAUAAAAUUUUCACAUGUCUCCAUCUGAAUUUGUACUUCAUUUAAUUGACUAUUUUCAACUUGCUUUUUACUCUGUAAGGUUAUUUAGCUUCAGAAUUAUGUGAAUGUAUAAUCUUUGGUGUAAGGCUGCUUAUUCACUACUUAUGUCUGUUUUUCAGUCCUAGUUGUGACAUGAUGGAACUAAGGCGCCGUUAUCAGAAUUUAUAUAUACCUAGUGACUUUUUUGAUGCUCAGUUUACAUGGGUGGAUGCUUUCCCUUUGUCAAGACCAUUUCAGCUUGGAAAUUACUGCAAUUUCUAUGUUAUGCACAGAGAAGUAGAGUCAUUAGAAAAAAAUAUGGCCAUUCUUGAUCCUCCAGAUGCUGACCAUUUAUACAGUGCAAAGGUUUGUAUUUGUGAUUUACAGCUUAAUUUCUUCGUAGUUGUUCAAAAAUAAGAGGAUAUGUGGAACCAUUCUUUUUUUGGGAGGGGAUAUGGGGGAUUGAACUCAGGGGCACUUGACCACUGAACCACAUCCCCUUAAGUAAUUUAACCUCUUUGUGCAUCACUUAUUAUGCAAUAAAAUAAUGGUUGUUUUAACAUUUUAAUCCUUAUAAAAAUGUGAAGAUGAAGUUGAAAGUUGAAUGUUAUGACUUUUUUGUUUGUUUGUUUUUUUAAUAUUUAUUUUUUAGUUUUCGGCAGACACAACAUCUUUAUUUGUAUGUGGUGCUGAGGAUUGAACCCAGGCCGCACGCAUGCCAGGCGAGCGCGCUACCACUUGAGCCACAUCCCCAGCCCUGUUUGUUUGUUUUUGUACUGGGGAUUUAACCCAGGGACACUUUACCACUGAGCUAUAUCCCCAACCCGUUUUAUUUUUUAUGACUUUUGGCCCCAGAUAAAAUUUAAUAUUGGUUGAAUGUACUGAAUUUUUGUCUUUAGGAUAACAUUCAGAAUAUGGCUUAUCAGAGUUAGUUUUCUUCUGGUUUAAAACAUUGUUUGAUCUAAAAAGCAUCCCUUAAAUCUCGAGUGGUGGCAGGCAGACAUUCAUAGUCAGGUAAUACAGUUUGUUGAGUCAAGUUGGCAGUUGUGAAGGACUCAAUUUGGUUUGUUAAGAGAUGCCCCAAGCUGGGAGUGGUGGCUCACGCCUGUUAUUCCAGCAGCUCAGGAGACUAGGCAGGAGGAUCUCAAGUUCAAAGCCAGCUUCAGCAAUUUAGCAAGGUCCUAUCUCUAAUGAAAUAUAAAAAGGGGUUGGGGAUGUGGUUCAGUGGUUAAGUGCCCCUAGGUUCAAUUCCUGGUACCAAAAAAAAAAAAAAAAGCUCAAACCUGAUAGAAAAGAAUUCCAGAAUAUUUCUAUAUGACAAUAGCAAUAGAUUUUGCUAUAAUGGGAUUUAGAAUGUCUUUGGAUGCUGUUAAAGUUCUUUUGAAAUUAACCUACCAUCCCUAUUAAUAACAUCAUUGUGGGUGGCUUAAUACUUUUUGUCGAAGGGUUUGAGAACCUCAUGAAGUAAAAUUUUGUUCCCUUUUCUUCCAAAAUAUUUUCUAUUUGUAAAUUAAAAUAAUUUCAGAAAUUUAAAAAAAUCUUCCCUUGAUAAGUUAAAACUUUAUAAGGUAUUUAAUAUUUUAACUUAUUUCUGUAACAUUUUGCAUUCAUUUUUAUGAGAAAUUUCAAAUAACUAAAAUGUGAGUUUAAGUAGUAGUGCUUCUCAUUUUUUUUUACAUUACAUUAGACUUUUGACAGGAUUGAAUUAUUUGACUAUAAUAGGUAAUGCUGAUGGCUAGUCCUAGUAUGGAAGAUUUGUAUCAUAAGUCUUGUGCUCUUGCUGAAGACCCACAAGAACUUCGAGAUGGAUUUCAACAUCCUGCUAGACUUGUUAAGGUAAAAUAAACUAUUUGUUUUAUCUUUAGGUGUAUAUUCAUUUACCUUAGUGCUUACUGUGUAUAUGUGAAAUUUAAAAACAGCAUAUUUUUAAUCUUGUUACUAAAUGAUUUUAGUAUUAUUAAGGUACUCACAAUUUAAUAAUACAGAUGUCUUUCUCACUGCAGAUUGUGGCUAUACUUUAUUUGUGUAUAACGACUUCAACUGUCAUUGAUUUGUUGUAUUUGUAGCAUAUUAAAAUCUUAGUGAUAAUGGGAUUUAGAAUGUCUUUGGAUGCGUUAAAGUUUGCAUUAUAGCUUGUUUCUUUAAAAGAAUGGUAACUGAAGAAAUAUUAUAGAAGGAUGAGUUAUGAUGUGUAAAUCCUAUUCCAUUGCUGAAAUGCAGUGUGGAACACGAUGAACUGAACUCUUCCUUGACUGACAGAUAUCUGAGGUAGUAAAAAUGAUAUUGGAAAGGUUUGUACCUUUCCUUUUCAAGUAUUUAUUUGUAAUUUCACAAGUUAUAUAAUGUAUGUAAGUGAUUCUUUGUUUUGAAUUAGUUUUUAGUGGGCAUGAAAGGCAAGGAUGAAGCCAUGGCCAUUGGUGGGCACUGGUCUCCUUCGUUGGAUGGACCAGACCCUGAAAAAGAUCCCUCCGUGUUGAUUAAGACUGCUAUUCGUUGUUGUAAGGCUCUGACAGGCAUUGAUCUAAGUGUUUGCACACAAUGGUAAGUAUCAAUUCAUUUCUUGAUUAGAAAUAUUUAAUAGAUUUGUAGAUGUUCUUAUCGAUCAGCCUUUUCCCCUUAUUUUAGCAACACUUGUCAUGCAGGUAAUCUCAAAGGAAAAAUCCCCAUUUGUAGCAAAAGUUUAUUUGGUGCCAAAAAUGUUUUUUGGAAAAAGGAUUAAGAACUAAUCAAAAUAUACUGAAAAUUUAAAUGUUUUGUUAUGCUGUACUUUGGAAGUUUGGUUGUAUGUUGAAAAUACUUUUCAUUUCAUGUAUAGCUGGAGAAGAUCGUCAAGAGAGAACUUCAUUUCAUUAUAAUUCUUUUGUUAUUAAAUGAUGUAGUUGCUGAUUAUUUUUGUUCAGCCAUAUUUUCUCUUGAGGCUUAUUUGUCCUAUGUAUUUUAGUAUAUUUCUUGUGACUUAAUUGAGAAUAUUCUUUUUUAGCACAUGAAAUCUGAACAGCUAUCCAGCUUCUUCAGGUAUUAUCUAAAAUAUGGGUAGCUUUGUAAUCAAACUUGAAAAUGUGUUGUGGGAACUUAUUCUUUUAUUCAAUAAAAUAUUGUACAAAUGUACCAAAAGAGGAACUAUGGCUUCUAUAAUUUUUUUUUCUUUAGACCAACCUCAAGUUCUUGCAGCAAAAUUUCUUUACUUGAUGUGCUACAAGUGAACUAGGGUCUUUAAAAUGUAUUUUAGAAUUUUUUUUCCAACAUGCUUCUUCCCUUGCAACAGGUACCGUUUUGCAGAGAUUCGCUACCAUCGCCCUGAGGAGACCCACAAGGGGCGUACAGUUCCAGCUCAUGUGGAGACAGUGGUUUUAUUUUUCCCGGAUGUUUGGCAUUGCCUUCCCACCCGCUCAGAGUGGGAAACCCUCUCCCGAGGAUACAAGCAGCAGCUGGUCGAGAAGCUUCAGGGUGAACGCAAGGAGGCUGAUGGAGAACAGGCACUGAACGCUAAUCCCUUUUUCUAUUUCCGCUUCUCACAGGCACAGGAACACAGGCACAAAUGCACACCACACACUACAUAACAAACACACAUGGAGGAACAUAAGUGGUAACAGCGACUGGUAAUCCAGCUUUCAGCAGUAUAGUUGAAUGUUCUUUUCUCUUAAAAAUUCUGUCUAUUAUGCUAACGUUGAGAGUGUUGAGACCUCAAAGGAAAAUAAGUUGUGCUUAAAUUGCACAGAAUUUUGUUUCUAUCAUAGAUCUAGUUGCUGGAAUCUGGGACCAGUUGUUGAGCAAGAUUAAGUAUUAAGCCAUUUUAAACAUUUUGCCAUUUUCUAAAAUUUAAAAGAUUUUCUCUUUCAUGGUCAUCAGUUCUAGUCAUGGAUAUUUGAAAUUGGACAACCACAAGUCUGAGAGAUUUGAAAUUUCAGGCUAUGUGGCAACGUCUUUGGUACAUUUCAAAGGUCUGACUAAAUCAGUCUUUGGGUGGCUUGAAAAUUGGGGCAAGAUCACACACUGUGUGGUUAGUGGAGACCGGCAGUGUUUGUGCAUCCCUGAUAUCCUUUGUGUUGUAAUUUAUCACCCUUUUGUGUUUCACAGAUCUGGCUUUGAUUGGCUGAUGAGUGUCUUUGUGAUCAGUUAAAAAUGAUAGAAUGUAUGUACGUGGACUUGCCUAAAUAAUAACUUUAGGAGAAGACAAUCUGAAACAUUUGUGACCUUGCACAGAUCAGCAACAGACUUUUAAAAGUGAAUUAAAUUUAUUUUAAGGUUUCAAAAUAGUAAUUAUGUUCUUAACUUUGUAUAUUAGGAUGAAGAAGAAAAGGAUGAUGGUGAAGCUAAAGAAAUUUCCACUCCUACCCAUUGGUCUAAACUUGAUCCAAAGACAAUGAAGGUAACUUUGAAAAUUAUGGUUUUUAAUUUGAAAUCUCUUUAACAGGAAUACAUAACAUUGGUGAGAAUGAUGGUAGUAUGUUUUUCAAAUAAAAACCAUUCAAAAUGAAGUCUGUCUUGGCACCAUUUGGAAUCCCAGGUUCUUUGGAGGCUGAGGCAAAUUUGAGGCCAGCCCAGGUAAUUUAGCAAGACCCUUCCUCAAAUAAAUAACAAGGGCUGGAGAUUUAGCUCAGUGGGGUAAAGUCCACUUUUUUUUUUUUGGAGUUUGUCCCAGGCCCUUGUGUGCUAUACAACCACUGUACCUCUGAGCUACAUCCCCAGCCCUUUUUAUUUUAUUCUGAGACAGGAUCAUGCUACAUUGUCCAGCCUGGCCUCGAACUUGUGAUCCUCCUGCCUCACCCUGCGCCAUCAGGUCUGGCUGUUCACUGAUUUUAUAUAACUAUAAUAUAUUGCAUUUACCUGUGAAUAUAUACAUACAUGUAUAAAUUAAAAAGUGAUGUUAAAUAUCAGUCUAGCUAGUACCUGUAAAAUGCUUGCAAUUUCAAAGUACCUGUAAUAUCAGGAAUAUUGUUUUCUGGUUCAGUAAUUGACCAAGAAGGCAGAAUUUAUCACUGGGCACAGUGGCACAUGGCCUGUGUAAUCCCUGUGGCUUGGUAGGCUGAGGUAGGAGGAGCACAAAUUCAAAGCCAGCCUAAGCAACUUAGUGAGACCCUGUCUCAAAAUAAAAUAUAAAAAGGGUUAGAGAUGUGGUUCAGUGGUUAAGUACCUCUGGAUUCAAACCCUGGUACCAAAAAAAAAAAAAAAAAGGAGGUGGGAGGCGCCAGAAUUCUUACACUUAUGGGGCUGGAGUUGUGACUCAGUGGUAAAGCACUUGCCUUGCAUGUGUGAAGCACUGGGUUCAAUGUUUAACACCACAUAAAAAGAAAUAAACAAAAUAAAGGUAUUGUAUCCAUCUACAACUAAAAAAUAAAAAUUUAAAAAAGAAUAUUAAAAGAAAUAAUUUCUAAACUUACGUAACUUAAAUUCAGGGGUCAGAAAAGAAACAGGAAAAAGAUGAACUUGUUUUAAAAAUAAAUUUAAGAGUAAAAUGUAGAAUGUAUGCCUCUAAACUGGGAAGGAAAUAAUUUAAUAAUUUCUUUGAAAAUAAGUGGUUAACCUGCGUUAGUUUUUUCUUCUGGGUGUCUCUAGCCCAGUUAUCUUAGUAUUCUUUCUGCUGUUUUGUAUUUCCGAACUAUAGUCUAUGGUCAAGAUAGAGACUGAUCUUUACUUCGCCUUUUACAGUUUGUUUUUAGCAAAUGCCUUCUAGUUGACUUUUGCUCUUAGCACAAAACAAUUUUUCUACUUAGUUAGGAACAAUUUCUUUCUGGAUUUUUGUUGUUUUGUGUUUGUGGGGUUUUGGGGGGUUGGGGGGAGACUGAUUUUUUUUUUUUUUCUUUUAGUACAUAGGAUUGAACCCUGGACUACUCUAUCACCACAUUAUAUCCCCAGCACUAAUUUCAUUUUAUUUUGUUGUUUGGGUUUUUAAGAGUUAUAACACAUCUCACUUAGUGUUGAAUUUGGCCUUGACUUGUGAACCUGUUAUCUCAGCCUCCUAAGUCCUAAGUAGCUGAGGUUACAGGACCUAGCAAGGCUUGAACCUUGACUUUAAACUCAUUGGUUUUUAGUAUGUAGACAUUGUAUGUCAUAAGAAUGUUAUUUGUUGAGAGCCACAGUUUAGUCAGAAUGAUGCCUGGCAUUUUUGCCAGAGGGAAUGGUUGAAAGAUGACCCUGCCCCGGAUUAGGGCAGAUCCUGCUGGGAAUAGGGCAGCUCCAGGAUUAGGGCAGAUCCUCCUGGGAUUAGGGCGGAUCCUGGUGCCUUGGGCACUACUUUGGAGUUCCCAUUGAGUUCUCUUGGGGUUCUCAGAGAAUUGGCGCGCAGAGCAGUGUGUUCCCGGGAAGUGUGUGUAGAGUGCAGGUGAGAGUUCGGGAAUAAAGGUUGCUGUUUGAACCUACAAGGCUGUGUGCCCAGCCAGACUGCGGCAGUUAUUCUUUAAUUGCUUCCAAGUUGUCAUCGUCAAUAUCAGGUUCAUAUAGGGUACUCAAAAGAUUAUGAAAACAUUGACAAUAAGACUAAGACUAUACCCAACACUUUUUAAUUUAAACUUGAUUGUUUUGAUGUUAAGUUCUAUAUUUUAUUUUUAUUUAUUUAUUUUUUUGGUACUGAGAAUUGAACCCAGGGCCACUUUACCACUGAACUACAUUCCAUAGUCCUUUUUAAUUUUUUAUUUUCAAAUAGUCUUGAUAAGUUGUAUAGGGUCUUGCUAAGUUGCCUAGGGGUGCCUUGCCUCGACCUUGGGUUCCUCUUACCUCAUUCUCCCAUGGAGCUAGCAUUAUAGGUGUGUGCCACCACAUCCAGAUUCUGUUUUCUUUUUUGUAGGAUAUAAGUAAUGUAUUUAGUUGGUUGGUUGGCUCAAAUCAAGUUGUAUUUAAAAGUUGCAUUUUAAUCAUUUUCAUUUAACAUCUUUUUUUCUCAUGUAAUUGUUUUUCAAUUUUACAUUAUAUGUGGUUUAUGUAUUAAUACUUCUUAGAUAUUGCUUUUUAUUGAAUGUGCAGAUUCUUUACUUUUUUGAAGUGAAGGACUGUUGUAAGUAAAUCUAACAAGGUAUGCUGGUGCAACUCUGUAAUCCCAGUGACUUGGGAAACUCUGCAGCAGAAGGAUUACAAAUUCUAGUCCAGCCUCUGAAACUAAGUGAGACCCUAUCUCAAAAUAAUGUGAAAAAAGGGCUUACCUAAUACCCAAAAAGGUCCUGUGUUCAAUUCCUAGUAUUUCCAAAAAAAGGUUAAUAAUUAGUAAAUCUGUUUUUCUCCCUGAGUUCAGGAUAUUUCAUACACACACACACACACACACACACACAUAAUUUUAAUAGUUUUAUUUACUUUUGGGGGCGAGUACUAGGGAUUGAACCCAGGCACUCUAGUAACUGAGCUAUAUUCCCAGCCCCUCAUUUAUUUAUCUUUAUGUCAGCUGAGGAUCAAACCCAGUGCCUCACACAUGCUAGGCAGGCCCUGUACCACUGAGCCAUGAUCCCAGCCCCCCAGGAUAUUUCUUUAGGUAAAUUCCCAGAAAUUAGAAUUACUGGGUCAAGGGUUAGGGGGAUACAUCAGUGGCAGACCACCUGCCUAGCAUGUGCAAGGUUUUGGGUUCAACCUCUAGUACCAUUAAAAAAAAAAGAAAAGAAGAAAAAAGGAACAGUAAAAGGACUUUGAAUCAUCUUAAAAUGUUUUGAAUUAUUUUCCAAAAUAUUCUAUACAUAUCACCUGUGUGGUUUUUUUUUUUUUUUGGAUACCCAGAAUUGCACUCAGGAGUACCUAGCCACUGAGCCAUAUCCCCAGUCUUUUUUUUACCGUUUUAUUUAUUUUUUAUUUUUUGGUACUGGGUAUUGAACUCAGGGGGCACUUAACCACUGAUCCACAUGUCCAGCCCUAUUUUGUAUUUUAGUUAGAGAAAGGGUUGCACUGAGUUUGCCUAGCGCCUCAGUUUUUCAGAGACUGGCUUUGAACUCACGAUCCUCCUGCCUCAGGCUCUGGAAUUAAAGGUGUGCACCAUGUUGCCAGGCACCUUUUUAUUUAUUUUGAGACUAAGUUGCUCAGGGCCUUGCUAAAUUGCUAAGUUGGUCAGGGCCUUGCUAAAUUGUUUACUAAGGCUGUCCUUGAACUUGAGAUCCUCUUGCCUCAGCCUCCCAAGAGGAUUAUAGGCAUGCACCAGCACGUCUGUCUUUUUUCAUAAAAUUUUUUUUUUUUAAAUCAGGUAAAAGUAUAUAGUUUGUUUACAUCUCAUUUUCUUUUUCUAUGUUUUUAUGUUGCAUACAUUUAGGUAAAUGAUCUCCGAAAAGAAUUAGAAAGUCGAGCCCUUAGUUCCAAAGGAUUAAAAUCCCAGUUAAUAGCUCGAUUGACAAAACAACUUAAAGUAGAAGAACAAAAAGAAGAACAGAAGGAAUUAGAGAAAUCUGAAAAAGAAGAGGAAGAAGAGGAUGAUAGGAAAUCUGAAGAUGAUAAGGAGGUAUUUAUUCAGCAUUUGAAUAUAGUUGUAUUGGUAUUUCUCUUAGUAUGUUGGGUGUUCGUGGAAUAUAUGACUUCACUUUGUGUGUGUGUGUGUGUAUUGUUUUAUUAAGGUAUGUAAGGUAAAAGUAGAAUUUUUUCCCACAGUUGCUUUACCACUGAGCUAAAUCCCACAAUUCUUUUUAUUUUUAUUUUAUUUUAUUUUUUUAAGUUUCAUUUAAAAUUUUUUUUUUUUUAAGUUAUCUAUGGACUUAAUGCCUUUAUUUGUUUUUAUGUGGUGCUAGGAUCAAACCCAGCGCCUCACACUUGGGAAGCAAUGCUCUACCACUAAGCUUACAACUCCAGCCCCCCUUUUUAUUUUUUGAGACCGGGUUUUUUCACUAAUGAGCUGAAGGUGUCCCUAAGUUGUUGAGGCUGACCUCGAACUUGUACUCCUGCCUCAGGCUUCUAUGUAGCUGGGAUUACAGGCAUGUGCCACUGCACCUAUCUAAAAAUUCAUACCUGUAAUGAAUAGUUCUGCAAUUUUUUAAAAUUAUUCUAAUUAGUUAUACAUGACAGUAGAAUGCAUUUUUUUAAAAAAUAUUUUUUAGUUAUAGUUGGGCAUAGUACCUUUAAUUUUUAUUUGUUUAUUUUUAUGUGAUGCUGAGGAUCGAACCUAGCUCCUCGCAUGUGCUAGGCGAUCGCUCUACCGCUGAGCCACAACCACAGCCCCUAGAAUGCAUUUUGACAUAUGAUACAUAUAUGGAGUAUAACUUCUCAUUCUUGUUGUACAUGGUAUAGAAUCAUACCAAUCAUUUAAUCAUAUGUACAUUCGGUAAUAAUGUCCGAUUCAUUGAACUAUCCUUCCUACUUCUAUACCCUGUCUCCUCUCUUCACUCCCCUCUGCCUAUCCAAAGCUGUUCUUCCCUAACCCCCUGCCCUCAUUGUGAAUUAGUAUCCACUUAUCAGGAAAAAACAAAAACAAAAACAAAAACAUUCAGCUUGAGUUCCAAUGAAAUGCUCAUGCCCUAAUUGUGAUGCUUCUAAAGUAAUAUGUUUGAUUGGAUUCUACUCAAGAAUAGACAAAUUAUUCAAGCUAUUUUGUACCUCAGUUUUAUAUCUAAUACAUUUAUUCCUUAGUGCAUAAGCUUAUUGUGUUCUCUGAAUUUGAGAGCUAGUGUGUUUUAGCCCCAGUAAUUGGAUAAACCCUUAGGGUUUUUAAAUGUGAUGUAUUAUAAAAUACCCAUCCACAAUUCCUAAAGUAGUUCUUCGAGAAGUAUGUGACAUAGAUCAAAUUGUAAGGAAAACAAUUGGGUAAAUCUGAAAAGUGAAAAAAAUUUUAUAAAGCAAGUUGUGUGAACUUUUCAGAAUGUAUCCACAUUAAAGAAAGAAACUUAGGAGCUGUCUUAGAUUGAAGAAGGUUAGUGAAUGUGACUGGAUCUGGGCUAGGGAAAAAAUGUCAUUAAGAAUGGUAUAUGGGCUGGGGAUGUGGCUCAAUCGGUAGUAGCGCUCUCGCCUGGCAUGCGUGCAGCCCAGGUUCGAUCCUCAGCACCAUAUACAAACAAAGAUGUUGUGUCUGCCGAAAACUAAAAAAUAAAUAUUAAAAUUCUCUCUCUCUCUCUCAAAAAAAAAAAAAAGACUGGUAUAAUUGGAGCCAGGUGUGAUGGCACAUACCUGUAAUCCCAAUGGCUCAGGAGGCUAAGGCAGGAAUCAGAGUUCAAAGCCAGCCUCAGCAAAAAGUGAGGCGCUAAGCAGCUCAGUGAGAUCCCGUCUCUAAAUAAAAUACAAAAUAGGGCUGGAGAUGUGGCUCAGUGGUUGAGUGUCCCUGAGUUCAAUUCCCAGUACUGGGGGGAAAAAAAAGAACAGUAUAAUUGGAGAAAUUUGAUUGUAUAUGUAGUUGUUACAUUAGAUAUUAUUGAAGUUUUAUUAAAUUUUGUGGAUGUGAUAAUGGUUUUGUGAUUAUGUAGGAGAAUUACCUUUUUUUAGACAAUACAUGAACUUGUGAUUUCUUAUCAAUUGGCAGGUAAAGUACUUAUUUUGGUGAUAACAUUUUUUCAGAAUUGACCAGUGGGAACCCUUUUAAGUUAUAUGUCCUUUUGAUAUAUCCUCAUCAUUUUUUGAAGGAUUUCUUACUUUUUGGCCUGAUAGGAUGUUUCAGUCUUAUUGUGUACAUUUCUCACUUUUGGUCUUCAGUCUCUUAUGGUCAGGAACCCAAAGAACCUGGUGUGGUGGUACACACCUGUAAUCCUAUUUACUAGGGAGGCUAAGGCAGGAGAAUUAUAAAUUCAAGGUCAGCCUGUAUAACUUAGUGAGACUGUUUCAAAAUGAAAAAAAUAAUGGGCUAGGAAUAUUGGGUAGUAGAAUGCCCCUGGGUUCAAUCCCCAGUACAGCAAAAAAAAAAAAAAAAAAAAAAAGAUAUCCAAAAGAAAGAAUUCGGACCCACAAAAGCUACUACCCUUAGUAAAUUUGAACUGUUCUCUUUUUUUCAAUCCUUAUAGUUGUUUUGGUCACUCUAAAGAAUUUUAGGUAUUUUGCCGUUUUUCUUUAUAUGGUAUACAUUUUUUGAAUACAUACAUAUUGUACAUGAAGGUUUAAACCAUGAACUAAAAUUUCAAAAUCCAGGAGGAAGAAAGAAAACGUCAAGAGGAAAUGGAACGCCAGCGUCGGGAAAGAAGAUACAUUUUGCCUGAUGAACCAGCCAUCAUUGUGCAUCCAAAUUGGGCUGCAAAAAGUGGCAAGUUUGAUUGUAGCAUCAUGUCUUUGAGUGUCCUUUUGGACUACAGAUUAGAAGAUAAUAAAGAACAUUCAUUUGAGGUAAUGUUUUAUCUUUGAAUCAGGAUCCAGAUAAGGUCCACAUAUUGUGUGUCUCUUAAAUCUCUUUUUCUCCCAGUUGCUAAUUAGGAAAAUCAAUAGUUUAUUCUAUAAAGUUUCAUAUAAAUUACUUUUGUUGAUUUUUUUAAUCCUAUGGUAUAGUAAUACCACUGAAAUAUGCUUGUGUCCUCUGUAUUUUCUAUAAAUUGAUAGUUAGAUCUAAAUUCUUAAUCAAGUUGUGGGCUUUUUUUUUUUUCUUUUAAAAAAGAAAUUUGAACUUUUUGAAGAAUCUGUUGAAAUCCUGAAUAGCUUUAGAACUAUUUAGAUAAGCCCAUGCAUGGUGGUACAUACCUGUAAUCCCAGUAACUCAAGAGGAUUGUAAAUUCAAUGCCAACUUGGGUAAUUUAGCCCUGUCUCAGAAAGAUUAAAAAGGAGAGGACAUGUUGCUCAGUUGCAGAACAGCCCUGGGGUUUGGUCUCCAGUGCUAUAAAUAUUAAAUAAAUAAGUAUAUUUUAGUGUAUAAGUUGAUGAAUAUGUGGUAGCUCUUACCAUGGCUCUCUGCAUAAUAAUAAUAAUGGAUAUUCCAUACUCAGGGUUUUUAAUUGUUUUAAAUGCCUGAAAUGUUCUUCUAGAUAUCUUCAUAAUUCAUUUAUUCAUUGCCUUCUAGUCACUUUUUUGUCGGGUGGAGGGUACUGAAGGUUGAACCCAGGGGUGCUUAACCCACUGAGACACUUCCCCAACCCCUUUUGAAUUUUAUUAGAGACGGGAUCUUGCUGAGUUGCUGAGGCUGGCAUUGAAUUUGCAAUCCUCCUACCACAGCCUCCUAAACUAAUGGGAUUACAGGCCUGUGCCACCAUGCCCAGCUCUCUGGUCACUUUUUAAAUGUCAGAAAGAGACCUUGUCUAACUACUCUUUCUCACUUUCUUUUUAUAAAAUACAUGCUAGGCAAGUGCUUUACCACUGAGUUGCAUCCCAGUCCCUUUAUAUGCUUGUUUUUCUUGUAAUUUGAUAUUAAUUGGGUUAUUUCUUAUACUAGGUUUGUUACCUUUGUGCUGAAAUAAAAUUUUUUUUUUUCUUUUCACUGCUGUAUUCCCAGCCCAUGGUACAUAGUAGGCAUUUGAUUAAAAACUUAUUGACUGGGUCUGUAGUCAUAGCUUAGUAGCAGAGAGCUUACCUAGCAUGUGUGAGGCACUGGGUUUAAUCCUCAGCACUACAUAAAAAUAAAUAAAUUAGCUAAAGGUAUUGUGUCCAUCUACAACUAAAAAAUAUUAAAAAAAAAAAAGUAUUGACCAACCAAUGGAAAUAUAAACAAACCCUUAUAGAAUAAAUAAAGUAUUGUGAAGAUUAAUAGUUUCGUUAGGAGUAUAGAAUUCUUUUUUUCUUUUCAGAUUUUCUAUAGUAGAUUACUUAUUAUAGUAUUUGACUAAAACUGUACUAACCUAAUAUUUUAUAUCUUUGAAACAUUGUUUCAGCAUUUUGAGUCUUUGACAUCAAUUAUUAUAACUAUAUUCUAAAUGUACUUAAUAGAUUCAGCAAAUAUUUAUUAAAAUUACUAACUGCUAGAUUUAAUAUUUCUGUUGCAUUUGUGUUAAUUUUCAUAUCUUUUUAUAGGUUUCAUUGUUUGCAGAACUUUUCAAUGAAAUGCUUCAGAGAGAUUUUGGUGUCAGAAUAUACAAAUCAUUACUCUCUCUUCCUGAGAAAGAGGACAAAAAAGAAAAGGAUAAGAAAAGCAAAAAAGAUGAGAGAAAAGAUAAAAAAGAAGAAAGAGAUGACGAAAAUGAUGAGCCAAAACCCAAACGGAGAAAAUCAGGAGAUGAUAAAGAUAAAAAAGAAGAUAGAGAUGAAAGGAAGGUCUGUAAUUAUUUCCAUAAUUUCUUCUUUUAGAUUGUAACAAAUGAUGUUAUUUCCAUCAGAAUAUUAAAAUAUGAAGCCAAACUUAUACUUUAGAAAAUUUGUCUUUUAAUUAAGCCAAUUCCCCAAACUGCUGAGGGCCUUAAUAAGUUGCUAAAUUGGUCUCCAAUUUGAGAUUCUCCUUCCUCAGCCUCCUGAGUUGCUGGGACUAUAGGCAUGAGCCACCACUCCCAGCUAUUGUUACUCUUAAAUGUAUUACUUUAUGGAUGCUGUGGUUAUGGCUCAGUAGUAGAAUGCUUGCCUGGCAUGUGUGAGGCACCACAUAAAAAUAAUUAAUUAAAUAGAGAUAUGAUGUCCAUUAUACAACUAAAAUAAAAAAGCAUUCCUUUUUUAAGAAAUUUGUAGUUUGAAACUAUUUUAAGUAAAUACCUUUUUUUGGUGAUGCUGGGAUUAAAACCCAGCGCGUUGCACACAUGCUAGGCAAAUGCCCUACCUCAGCUACAUCCCCAGUCCUUUAAAUAAAUAAAUGUAAUGGACUUAAUGUUUUCUUAUUAAAUUUUAAAUUACAGAAAGAAGAUAAAAGGAAAGAUGAUUCUAAAGAUGAUGAUGAAACUGAAGAAGAUAAUAAUCAUGAUGAAUAUGACCCAAUGGAAGCAGAAGAAGCUGAGGAUGAAGAAGAUGGUAUGAUUCAAAUUUUCUUAUUACUGAUUAUGUUUGAAAAAACAUUUGUUUGCUGACUUUGUAUCAGUGAAAUCUAUGAUUUUAAUAUUUUUUAUUAGAAAGUUAAAAUAUUCUCUAAUGAAAAUAUAUUAAGUAAUUGUUGUUUACUAAUUUUUAGGUGAGAAGGCUAUAUUUUGGUGCUUUUGGUUUUUUAUUUUUUAUACUACUGGUAAUUGAACCCAAGGUCUACAAAAGCUCCACAAGUGCUCUAACCAUUGAACUGACAGGGUCUUGCUAAUUUUCACAGACUGGACUUGAACUUGAAAUCCUCCUGCCUCAGCCUCCCAAGUAGCUGGGAUUACAGGUGUACACAUAUGCCCAGCCAGAAUAUAUUCUUCGAAAAAUAAUUUGGUUUAUUUUUAUUUUUUAAGUGAAUACUAUCAUCAUGCAAUGAGUAUAUAUUUAUGGUUUAAAUACUAUUAAUAAUAAUUACCCAUGGUACCUAUUAACCUAUGUCUUAAAAACCAUGUAGGGGCGGGCUAAGGUUGUGGUAGAGCACCUGCAAGAAAGGGUCUUGCGGAGUUGCUUAGGGUCUUUCUAAGUCGCUGAGGCUGGGUUUUCAAUACACCUGCCUCAGCUUUUCAAGUUGCCGGGAUUACAGGCAUGUGCCACCAUGUCUGGCUGACACUCUAAAUACUUUCUAGUUGGGCUGGGGGUGUGGCUCAAGCGGUAGCGCGCUCGCCUGGCAUGCGUGCGGCCCGGGUUCGAUCCUCAGCACCACAUACAAACAAAGAUGUUGUGUCCGCCGAGAAUUAAAAUAAAUAAAUAAAUAUUUUAAAUAAAUAAAUAAAUAAAUACUUUCUAGUAAACAUUCUGAUCAGUAAUAGAUGUUGGCCAUAAAGUAUCUCUGUGUAAUGCCUUACCCAUAUCUCUUUAUGUUGAUGUGACUUGAGAAUUUUGUCUUUUUCUCAUAUCAGAAAACUAAAAACUUUUUUUUUUUAUUAACUGUAUCUAUGGAUGAUACUUCUUAUUAUUAAAGGUUAUUUUGGUUUGCAGCUUUUGGGUUUUUUGGUAGUGGGGAUUUAACCCAGGGGCGCUUUACCACUGGGCUACAUCCUCAGUCCUUUAUUAUAUAUAUGUAUUUUUUAUUAUGAGACAAAGUCUCAAAGUUCCUGAGGACCUUACUGAGUUGCCAGGGCUCACUGUGAACUUGAUAUCCUCCUAUCUCCACCUCCCCAGUUGCUGGGAUUGUGGGCAUGUGCCACCCUGACUGGAUCAUCACAUUUUCUUCUCAUGUCAUUUCAUUUUUCUUAUUGAUGAAAAUAUUCACAUAAAAUGUUGAGGGGGCUGGGAAUAUAGUUCAGUUGGUAGAGUGCUUGCCUCACAUGCACAAGGCUCUGGGUUCAAUCCCCAGCACCAAAAAAAUAAAUAAAAUGUUGAGAGAAUUGUACAGUGAACACCCAUAUGUCUUCCAAUUAGGAUUUAAUAUUCAUUAAUAUUUGACUUAUUUGUUUUGUCUUUUUUCUGAUCCAUUUGAAAGUAUGAAUUCUUCAACUUACUUGGGAGGCUGUGGAAGGAGGAUCACAAGUUUGAGGCUAGCAUUAGCAAGUUAGUCCCUAAAACUUAAUGAAACCUUUUCGCAAAAUAAAAAACAUAAAGGAGAUGUAGCUCCAUUGUAAUGUGCUCCUGGGUUCAGUUCCCAGUACCAAGAAAAAAAAAAGCUUAGGAAAGAAAGGACAUACUUAAUCCCACAAUCAUACCUUUAUUAUGCAAUAAUGCCUUAAUAACACUUAAUACCUGUUUUUUCUUUGCCCUAAUAAUAGCAAUGAGAUGAUACACAUACACCAAUUUUGCUUCAUAUCUCUUCUGUUGUUACAUGGCGCAGUGCAAACUUAGCCCUAUUACAGCCAUAUUUCCUCCCCAUAUUGUUUUUUUUUUUUUUUUUAAAGAGAGAGAGAGAGGGAGAGAGAGAGAAUUUUUUUAGUAUUUAUUCUUUAGAUUUCGGCGGACACAACAUCUUUGUUUGUAUGUGAUGCUGAGGAUCGAACCUGGGCCGCACGCAUGCCAAGCGAGCGCGCUACCGCUUGAGCCACAUCCCCAGCCCCCAUAUUGUUUUUUGUUGUUGUUGUUUGUUUGUUUAUUUUGGGGGGGCAGGGGUUACUAGGGAUUGAACUCAAGGGCACUGGACCACUAAGCCACAUCCCCAGCCCUAUUUUAUAUUUUAUUUAGAGACAGGGUUGCUAAACACGUUGCUUUUGCUGAGACUGGUUUUGAACUAACCAUCUUCCUGUCUCAGCCUCCCAAGCACUGGGAUGUAGGUGUGUGCUACCUCACUCAGCUCCAAGUCCAGUGUUUUUUUUGUUGUUGUUUUGUUUUUUUAAGGUACUGGGGAUUGAACUCGGGGCCACUCAACCACUGAGCCACAUCCCCAGCCUUAUUUUCUAUUUUAUUUAGAAACAGGGUCUCAGUGAGUUGCUUAUUGCUUCACAGUUGCUGAGGCUGGCUUUGAACUUGCGAUUCUCCUAUCUCAGCCUCCCAUGCCACUGGGAUUACAGGUGUGUGCCAUUACGUCUGGCUACAAGUCCAAUUUUUAUCAUACCAAUUUUUAUAAAAUACAUAUUAGUUUCAGAAAAAUUAGAUUUAAUUAAGAGUUAGUCAUAUUUUUUUCUUUUUUUUUUUAAUUGUUAAAUUUUUCCCCCUUACAAUAGCCUCUAAAUUUGUAGGUCCACCCCAUACUGGUCCUAAAAGAUCUCUUGGAUUCUGUAAUGCCUCCUCUAAACACAGCUGUCUGCCUGAGCAGAUUUUUUUUUUUCAAAGCUCUGUUGUCCUCUGGUGGAUGAUUGACGAAUUGCAUUGUCCACUCUUCCACUUUUGGAGAUUUAGUUUCAUCUGAAGCCUGCAAUACCCUUUCACCGUUCCUAUGUUUAAAACUUUUUGUAAAUCCAAUUUGAGGGUCCCACUUAACGCUUUGAGAGUCUAUCUACUGCUGAAGAUUUUGUCCAGUUCAUGAUUUCAAACUGACUCCACCCCAUCUCCUUGUGGACAAAUUUGAUCUCGUUCUCUGGAGUCAUUAACUUGAAAUUGAAUGCUGUAGUAAAUUCUGCUGCAACCAAUGUCCAGCCUUCAACAGUGCAACACUUAUUAAAGGAAGUCUCAUAAUUCUCGUUGUUUUGUGUAAACAUAGAUAACGCCACUCCAUCCUCUGGAGUUCCUAGUGCUUUUACAGCACUCAGAUUGGAUCCUGAAGAGAAGGUAUUUUUUGGGGAUGUGGCUCAAGGGGUAGCGUGCUCGCCUGGCAUGUGUGCGGCCCAGGUUCGAUCCUCAGCACCACAUACAAACAGAGAAGGUAUUUUUUGUCCCACAGAUAAUGAGGCUUUUCCCUUCCAUCCAGUUUUCCAACUCACUUGCAAAUAUUGUAGCAUCAUAAAUCUCAAAAGGCAUUAAUUUCAGUGGUAUUGUUCAGAGUAACAAUGCCAAGUCCAUUUUCUUCCUUUUGCAGAUCCAACAUAUCUACCAGGAAACCACUAAAGCAUCACUUCUUCAUGAAAGCCAUGAGAUGUAAUAAAGUGAUACUGCCCCUCAGUGUAGUAGUUUUGUCCUUACAGAGAUGAUGGCUUCAAAAGACUUAUUAUUUUUAAGUUGGAACAAGGCUUUAAAGGUUUUCAGAAAUCAAAUAAGUGCUUUGAAGUUAGGCCUUUUUAUACUUUAAAAAAAUGUUAAAUGUGGUAUUUCUCCACCUUCCCUGAAAAGUUUUUCAGCACCCUCCUGUACCUCUGUAUAAACCACUCCUUUCCCAUUCCCAGGAGGGUACAUUGGGCUUCAGCUGCCAUCUAGCUGGGAAGCCUGGAGGCUCUCUGUGUGAGGGUCACUGGGAAAGGUGCUAACAUCCAUUCCACAACCACCUUCUGGGAUUCUCUUCCUUAUGACGCUUUUAAAAGUUAUGACCAGCUCUUAAAUAGAGCCCUGGAGGUCUCUGGGGUGACUUCCCUUUCUGCUUUCCUCGAUCAUCUUAAUUAAAAACAUCUCAGUUUCUCAUGUAGUUUUUCCUUUUGGGUUCUAGAAAAUAUACUUCACCUUGUUUGCUCAAGUUUGUGUUAUGUUUUUCAAUUUUAUCUAUAGAGUUAAUUUUAUCUUUUGAAAUAUAUCCUUCAGAUAUUUGUAAAAUUAAGGCCAUUUAAUUGAUUUAAUAAAGUCAGUUUGGUGCUGAUAGUGACAAGAAUGCUUGCCUGUCAUAUGCAAGGCCCUCAGCAUUGCAAAAAGAAAUAAUGAAAUCAAUUUGUCCCUCUAGUUUUUCUCCCAUCCCCAGUAGUGGGGAUUGAAUUCAGGGGUCUCUACAAGUAAACUACAUCCUCAGCCCUUUUUCUUGUUUGGAGAAAGGGUCUCACUAAAUCAUCUAUGCUACCCUCAACUUUAUAAUCCUCUUGUCUCAGUUUUCCAAGUGAGAUUACAUUCAUGUACCAUUGUGCCUGAUCACCCGAUAUAUUCUUCCUCUUAUUUUUUGUAAUUUUUUUUUCACAUCUACACUAUUUUUAUUUAUAUAUUUAUUUGAUUAAUUUGAAAAUUUGUUCUGUAGUGGAGGAAUAGUAUUUUUUUUGUUUGUUUGUUUGUUUUCUGUGGUGCUGGGGAUUGAACCCAGGGCCUUGUACAUGCAAGGCAAGCACUUUACCAACUGAGCUAUAUCCCCAGCCCAUGGAGAAAUAGUUUGUUUCUACAGUAGUUAAAAAUAUCUCUGUUAAUGAGUUUUUGCUGCUCUUACAUUUAUUUUUAUAGAUCGGGAUGAGGAAGAAAUGAACAAACGGGAUGACAAAAGAGAGAUCAACAGAUACUGCAAGGAAAGGCCUUCUAAAGAUAAGGUAUUUAUUGAAUAUUGUAUUCUUUAUAAUGUGAUGAUUUGUAUAUUUUACAUAAUUAAAUUUGAUUUUAAAAUAUAUCACAGUCAUGAAGUUUAUUAGUCUUCAUAUGCCUACAUACAACCACUUAGCAAAAUGCAGUUGAUGGGUUUUUGGUAUUUGGGACUGUCAUAUAACCAUUUUGUUUGAUUUUCUUUCUCUCAUAUUCAUAUAACAAAUGAACUUAUUUUAUUAGGAUGAAAUAAUGAUCUUUUAAGAUUGUUGCUAUUAUACUGACAUAAUUUCUUGUUUUUCAAUUGGAAAAAAGUAUAUACUAUCUUUUAUUUCUGUAUUUUUUUUAGGAAAAAGAAAAAACUCAGAUGAUCACAAUUAACAGGGAUCUAUUAAUGGCCUUUGUUUAUUUUGAUCAAAGCCAUUGUGGUUACCUUCUUGAAAAGGAUUUGGAAGAGAUACUCUAUACUCUUGGAUUACAUCUUUCUCGGGCUCAGGUAAUCUAUUCUGUGAAUUUAAAAUAAAAACCGUUUUUAUUACCAUUUUUUUUUUCUCCCUGUGCUGGGGAUAGAACCCAGGACUUGCUAAUGCAAGUGCUUUAGCACUGAAACUGCCUCUCCUGUAACUUUUCAAGAAGUUACUUUUUUUUGGUACCAGGGAUUGAACCCAGGGGUGCUUAACCAGUAAGUCACACCCCCAGCCUCCAGCCCUUUUUAUUUUUAUAUUGAGAUAGGGUCUCACUAAGUUGUUUAAGGCCUCACUAAGUUGCUGAGGUUGGCACUAAAUGGCCUCAGCCUCUUCAGUGAAUGGGAUUACAGGUGUGUAUCACCACGUUUGGCUAAGAAGUUACUUUUCAAAGAAAAUAUAAAUAGAAUAAGUUAAUGUAUUCAAUUCCAUAGGUAGGUGCUCAUUUUUUUUUACAUCUCUAUUGACUUUUUCAUUUAAAAGAAACAUAAUAGAUAUAAAUUGUAAGAGUCAAGCAAUACUGAAAUUUAUAAAGUAAAAAGGUUAAAAGCCCCUCUUUGCUCUUCUACUCCUCAGGUCCAGCACAUAACCUUCUAGAUUUUUUUGUAAUCAACUGUUUCAUUUUUAUAAACAUAAUAUGAAAUUAUGUUAUACAUAUUGAUGGAACUCUUUUAAAAUUUUCUAAUAUAUCCUGGACAUUUGUACCAUGAAAAUUCAGAUCUCAUUCUCAUAGCUGCAUAGUAUUCCAUUAUAUAGAUGUAUCAUUUAUGUAACUACUCCCUUAUUGCUUAUGGUUUUCAUAUUUUGGAAUUAUAAACUUAUGCUGUAAUAGACACCCCUUGUUACAUUUAUUUUAAUAUAUAUGUUAGUGUUUCUAAUAGUGUUACAAUUUUUUUUUUAAAUACUACGUUUUUUUAAAAGAAUAUUUUUAAAAUUUUUUGUUCAAUUUAAAACAUAUUUAUAUUUAUGUAUUUGACUUUGGGAGGAAAAAUUAAGUAGGGUUCACAAAAUUUUGAAGUAAAUUUGGAGAUUUUAGCAAGUGAUAAAAUAUCUACAAAAGUGUCCUGUGUCACAGUAUAUAUCUAAUAGCUCCAUAAAACAAAAACUUACAUUUCAGGCCAGGAAUUUUUAGGUUUCACCUCUUGCCAAUGUUUUUUCCCCCUCUAACUGGUGUAGUGUUACAAUUUUUAACAAUUAAAUUUAUUUUUCAAAUAUAACUUGGAUGUGAUUGAGUAGGAAUGGAUACCUGAGAAAGCAGUUUCCACAGAUGUUCUUCAUUUCUAAAAAUUAGAACACAGUUGUUCAAGGAAAAUCAAAACACAUUUUCAUCUUUUUAAUGUGUUUACUUGCUUAUAUUAUAGGUAAAGAAGCUUCUUAAUAAAGUAGUUCUCCGUGAAUCUUGCUUUUAUCGGAAAUUAACAGACACUUCAAAAGAUGAAGAAAACCAUGAAGAGUCUGAAUCAUUGCAGGAAGAUAUGUUAGGUUUGAGUAUAUUGAAAUCUUGCGUUUUUAUAAAUAUUCAUUAGUUUAAAAAAAAAAAUCUUACUAAAGUGUAUUGUCUUUUAUUAUAGGAAAUAGGUUGUUACUGCCAACACCAACAGUAAAGCAGGAAUCAAAGGAUGUGGAAGAAAAUGUAGGACUCAUUGUGUACAAUGGUGCAAUGGUUGAUGUAGGAAGCCUUUUGCAAAAAUUGGAAAAGAGUGAAAAAGUAAGGGCUGAAGUAGAACAGAAGCUGCAGUUACUAGAAGAAAAAACAGGUGAGGGACAAUAUGAAUAUGUUAGUACUUUUAAAGCUCUGUUUGUGUGUGUGUGCACGCACACACAUACCUCACAUUUUGCUUUGGACAGUGUAUAACUCUACUUUCAUCUGUUUCUAUUGGAGACAAUAAAAUCACUUAGUUUUGUAAGAAUUUUUCUUGUUCAAUGGGGUGUAGUGGGGCAUGCCUAUAACUAGAGAGGCCACUGUAGGAGGAUCACAAAUUUGAAGGCAGCUUAACAAGACCCUGUCUCAAAAGUAAAAAGGGCUGGGGAGGUAUCUUGGUGGAUAUUAGUUGUUCAUUCUCAGGUUCACUUGAUAUUCUGUUCUAUCCUUUCAGACCUCUGCUAGUUCCACUUACUUUUUAUUGGUUCCUAUUUUUGCUAGUUUGUUGCAGUCAUCUAAAAAUUGAAACUGGGUUUAGAAAUACUAGUAACUAAAACUUAAUUUCAAUAAAAACAGUAUUGCAUUGUGCUUUAGGUAACUAAUGAAGUUGGUAUUUAUGGGCAUUUUAAAGAAUUGCAUCUGCUUUUUAUUUUCAUAGCUUAAGUAUUUUUAACCUCAAGCUAUACUGGAAAUUAUAGGGGUUCAAGAGGUUUGUUUUGGACUUUUUUUUUUUAAUAGAUGAAGAUGAAAAAACCAUAUUAAAUUUGGAGAAUUCCAACAAAAGCCUCUCUGGUGAACUCAAAGAAGUUAAAAAGGACCUUAGUCAAUUACAGGAAAACUUAAAGGUUUCAGAAAACAUGAAUUUGCAAUUUGAAAACCAACUGAAUAAGACAAUCAGAAACUUGUCUACAGUAAUGGAUGAAAUCCACACUGUUCUCAGAAAGGUUUGAAAUUUUAUACUUUCAACAUUUUCAGAGUUUAUUUAAAUUUUAAAAACUAUUCAUAGCAUUUUUAAUGUACUUUAAUGUUAUUUUGCUCUUUGUAAAAGCUUUUCCUAGAAGCAAAUGAUAGCAUUCCAUCUUCUUGAAACUAGUCAAAAGUAAUUCCCCAAAGAUUAUAUUUUUCUAAAAUUUAAUGAUGAAUGUCAGUAUGGUUUAUGUGUACAGAUUUUUUUUGAGGUUGACCCCAAAUUUAUUUUUUUAUUCACACAGAUUUCAGAUAUGUUAUUGUAUUUAAUCAUCACAGUAUCCCUAUUAGUUAAGCAUUGUUUUAUUUUUUUUAAAUACACGACAGCAGAAUGCAUUUACAAUUCUUAUUACACAUAUAGAGCACAAUUUUUCAUAUCUUUGUAUAUAAAAUAUGUUCACACCUGUGUGUACAGAUUGUCUGAAGCAAAUGUUGAACUGGAGAUGUGGCUCAGUGAUAGAGUGUAUGCCUAGCAUUAUGUGAGGCCCUGUGAUUAGUCCCUAGCACCACAAAAUUUAUUUGUAUUUCUUUCUAAACCAAAGAGUAUUUUUGAAGUAAGAUAUGAAAUCAUUUGGUUCUUUUAAACCAUUUAUUGUGAGGCAGAAUUUAAGAAAAUUCUUUGGCAUCAGAUAUUAAUCGCUAUAAAAAUUUUAUAAUUGAAUUACAUUAUAAAAUACCUUCAAAUAACAUGUAAGAAAAUCUAAUAAAAUAUACCUUUUCCUUAUCUAUUAUUUUACAGGAUAAUGUAAAGAAUGAAGACAAAGAUCAGAAAUCUAAGGAGAAUGGUGCAAAUGUAUGAUAAAAUUUGUGUCGUGAUGAAAAAUGCUGUUAAAUAAUGUAAUAUAUAAAAAUCAUGAUACAAGAAUGUUUGAAGGUGAUGCAUGUUUUAGUAGUAUAAAUUCUGUUAGUUCAAAUGGUGUAUAAAGUUUUAUGAAUGUUGAGUCUGCUUUUGAAAAUUGCUUGUAAUUUCUAGCAUUCAAAUUAUUAAACACUCCUUGAGUGAAAUAAUUUUGCAUUGCAAAAUGUUUUAGGAUGAACUUUGUUAUAGUUUUAACCCCAAUAAAGUUCAUCAAUUUACUUGACAGUAGUAUUUAAUUACCAAAUGUCUUUUAUUAAAAUGCCUAAAUUUUUUUUUGUUUUUUAUGCAUAAAAGUUUUUUAUUUUAUUUAUAGAAUUAUCAUUAUUUACCUUUUAAUUUUGUAGUCCAUCUUUUAAAACUUCACUAUAAAUCAUAAAAUAGCAAGCUGCUUACUUUUUGGACCAGAAAUAUUUUUACUCUUCACCAAAAAUCCCCUCUAGUUAUCAAUAUCUAAAAACAUUGUUAAAAAUUCAGUUCACCCAAAAGACAGUUCAUUAAGAACUAAGAAAGCAGUAGACAACUGGUGUUGGUAUUUUGUUUGUUAGGCUUUACGUAAAAUUCAUAGACCUGAUGUUAAUGUUAACUGUUAACUGCUUUCAAUUAAUUGUUCUACUUUCCCAGAGUAGCACUUCUAUUACUUUUAAUUAUGAGGGUUUCUUUUUAAAAAAUUCAGUGUAUGUCAAAUGUACAGUUUAGUACCAAACCAAUAGAUGUCAGUAUGAUGCCUUAAGUUAAAUUUUUAAUUAAAAAUAAUUUUUUUUUCUUAGUCUGUGUAUGUACUUAAGAGUUUCAGAGGUGUUUAAGAGUUCAUGUAACUGUUGAGUGAAAAAAAGAAGGAAAUGUGAUGUACUCUGCAACAGUGGUUUUCAACAGGAUGUGAAUUUAUCCUUCAGAGGGCAUUUGGCAAUGUUUGGAGAUCUUUUUAAGCAAUUGGGUGGGGGGCUACUUGCAUCUAUUUGUUAGAGACUAAGAAUGCUGUAUAGGACAGUCCCCCACAAUGAGGAAUUAUUCAGUCCAAAAUGCCAGUAGUGCCCAAUUUGAAAAAUCCUGCACUUAAGGAAUAUAAGGUUAAACAACAUUUUGUCUUUAUAAAAUUAUACUUAGGGAAAACUUAGCUGAAUCUGUAGAUGAUUAUUUUUUUAUACUUACAAAACUCGAAGUGGAAUGUUUUGCUCUCAUAAAAAUAUAUGUUAUAUUAGAGUUUAUUUCAUUUUGUUUUACUCUUUCAUUUUGAUAGAAUAAUGGCCAGAUAUUCUAAAUAGGUGAAUAUGAGACUUAAUAUGUGACUUAAGUCAAAUGGAAUCCAUAUGGCUCUUACUGAGGUAUGGAUUAAAACUCUUCAAAUUCUUCAAACCACUUUUUGUCUUAAAUUGAUAUUUCUUCUCUUCAGGUCUAGUUGAACCUCUCCAAAGUCACUUUACUUCUUGAGCCAUAAUUAUAUCAUUAAUAUGUAAAUGUUUCUUCAUCGUUGAGAUGAGAUGAAACUGUAUAGGUUUUUUAGUUUGUUUUUUGGUACUAUAGGGAUUUAAACCAGGGUCGGAUUUUAUUUUCUUCUUGAGACAGGAUCUUGCUAGGUUUGCCCAGACUAGCCUCAAAACAUGGAAUCCUCCUGCCUCAGCCUCCCAAGUAGCUGGAAUUACAGGUGUGUGCCUCCAUGCCCAAUAAAUUAUAUGGAGUUUUUUAAAGCAAGCACUUUACCUCAGAGUUAUAUCCCCAGCUCUAUUUUAUUUUGAGACAGGGUCUUAAUACGUUUCCCAGGCUAGCCUUGAACUUAUAGUCCUCAUGCCUCUCCCUCCCAAAUUGCUAGGAUUAUGAGUUGAUAUUGUAGCUUGCCUACCCUGUGAGAAACUCUGGGUUCAACCCCUAGUACUGCAAUAAGAAAAAUGUGGUUUACCAAUCGGCUGAGAUUGCCAUAUGCCACUGCAGCUGAUAGGAAACUUUUAACUAAAAGAUAGUAAUGAUAGAUUUCCUGCAAAAGUAUAUUUUUAAAUGAAAGAUCAGGGCUGGGACAUGGCUUAGUGGUAGGUCACUUGGCUAGCUUACAUGAUGCCCUCAUUUAAAUCUCUAAUAAGAGAGAGAUCAUACAAAGGCCAACUAACAGCUUUUAUUUUUGUACAAUAAAUUUUAAAUAAGCAUAAGGUGGAUAUGAUGGAGGAAGAAUCUAAACCUUCCAAUUUUAUUUUUACUUACAGAUAUAAUUUCUUUUUUAAAAUGUAAUUUUUUAAGACACUAGGGAUUUAAUCCAGGAGUGCCCUACCACUGAGCUACAUCCCUAGCGCAUUUGUAUUUUUCUUUUGAGACAGGAUCUCACUAAAAUUUGACCAGACUGCCAAUUAAGUUUCUUGUAAAUGAGUGUCAUCCCCUGGAGUAACAAAGGGGUAGUCCUAGCAGAAGAGGUAAUUUGUGCUUCUCUUUCUCAAUGAAAUUGAUGAUGAACUGUCACAAGGAACAGUAAAUUACUUGGUAGAAAUAAUUCCGACAUCUCUUUUGUUGUUAAAUUAAAAUUUAAUUUCAUGAUUUGGUGCCAGACUGUUUGGAUAAGCAAAGUGUAGGCCAUGAUGUUUUGAAAAUAUUCAGUGAAGCCAUUAAAUAAAAAUUGAAAAUAACCCAAAGAGUUAAUGUUAUGGGAUAUGUAUCUUUCAGAAUAUUUGGAAUACAUUCUAUAAAAAAUUUGGAGAAAUGGAUAAGGGAAAAGAACUUAGUGUAGACUCAGUUAAAUGAUACUUAAAUCGCUUAUUGGAAUUGAAAAUAUCAGGUGGUUUUGGUAAUAAUCUAAUAAAACAUCUGAUUUUGGAUGACUCCAAUUUUUAUAGGUUUUUUCCUUUCUUUUUUGACACUAGUGAUUGAAUCCAAGUGUACGUAAUAUCUGGGCCACAUCCCUAGCUAGACCUUUUUUAGUUUUUAUUUUGAGACUAAGUUGCUGAUAACUAAUCUCAAACUCGCACUCCUUCUGUCUUAGCCUCCUGAGUCACCAGGAUUACAGGUAUGCACCAGCAGUUUUUUGGGUUUAUAGUUUGUUUUUUACAUAAUUGACCUCAACAGUUAAAAUUGUGUUCCAAAAUUGAAUUCCAAAAGUUGUGUCAAAAAUAAACAGAACUUUAU
rnacentral:lncRNA from 1 species